rnacentral:rRNA from 1 species
UCGAGCCGAAGUGAAUAACGCCCCGCUUCCAGGAAAAGCCUCUAAGCUUCAGAUCACAUUGGACCGUACCGUAAACCGACACUGGUGGGUGAGCAGAUAAUCUGCCAAGGCGCUUGAGAGAACUCGGGUUAAGGAACUCUGCAAAUUGAUACCGUAACUUCGGAAGAAGGUAUGCCUUCGACGGUGUAGGGAUUUACUCCCGAAGCUGUUGAAGGUCGCAGGUAAUCGGUGGCUGCGACUGUUUAUCAAAAACACAGGACUCUGCGAACACGCAGGUGGAAGUAUAGGGUCUGACGCCCGCCCGGUGCCGGAAGGUUAAUUGAUGGGGUUAGCCGCAAGGCGAAGCUCUUGAUCGAAGCCCCGGUAAACGGCGGCCGUAACCAUAACGGUCCUAAGGUAGCGAAAUUCCUUGUCGGGUAAGUUCCGACCUGCACGAAUGGCGUAACGCUGGCCACACUGUCUCGACCCGAGACUCAGUGAAGUUGAAAUCGCUGUGAAGAUGCGGCGUUCCCGCGGCAAGACGGAAAGACCCCGUGAACCUUCACUACAGCUUUACACUGAACUUUGAACCUUUCUGUGUAGGAUAGGUGGGAGGCUAUGAAACUUGGGCGCUAGCUCGAGUGGAGCCAACCUUGAAAUACCACCCUGGGAUGUUUGAAGUUCUAACCUUGGUCCGUAAUCCGGAUUGGGGACAGUGUAUGGUGGGUAUUUUGACUGGGGCGGUCUCCUCCCAAAGAGUAACGGAGGAGUGCAAUGGUACGCUCAGCGCGGUCGGUCAUCGCGCUCUAGAGUGCAAAGGCAUAAGCGUGCUUAACUGUGAGACAGACACGUCGAACAGGUACGAAAGUAGGUCUUAGUGAUCCGGUGGUUCUGUAUGGAAGGGCCAUCGCUCAACGGAUAAAAGGUACUCCGGUAUAACAGGCUUAUUCCUCCCAAGAGUCCACAUCGACGGAGGAGUUUGGCACCUCGAUGUCGGCUCAUCACAUCCUGGGGCUGUAGCAGGUCCCAAGGGUAUGGCUGUUCGCCAUUUAAAGUGGUACGCGAGCUGGGUUCAGAACGUCGUGAGACAGUUCGGUCCCUAUCUGCCGUGGGCGUUGGAAACUUGAGGGUGAGCUGUCCUUAGUACGAGAGGACCGGGAUGGACGUAUCUCUGGUGUUCCGGUUGUCACGCCAGUGGCACUGCCGGGUAGCUAUAUACGGACGGGAUAAGCGCUGAAAGCAUCUAAGCGCGAAGCCCCCCCCAAGAUUAGGUUUCCCUGCG